rnacentral:siRNA from 1 species
UCGCAUGUCACUAUUCAUAGCCUA